CCAUCAUUUGAACCUCCUGAGAAUGCAUCACAGGGUCGAGUGAAGCUACCACCAGAUGCAUCACUUUCAGUGUACAACAGAAAGGAGGCUGGUGGGGCAGUCAGAGCCUCCAUGAUCAAAGCCACUCAGGAGGGUGAUGAACGCAAAAUUAUAUUCCAGGUAGAAGAAUUUGGUGCACAAGAGAGGUUACCAUCAAGCGUGCUGAGAAGCGCCUGUUCCAGAUAAAUCAGCGCUCUCAUCAUGGUGAUGUAUG